CGCCGACGUCAAUGUGGCCCUGCUUGACCACCUCACCGCGGAGCCGGAGCUCAACCUGGUGAUCUACUGCAUCGAGCUCAGCGCCGGUUUCGCUGCGGACGGAUACUCCUGUGGAUCUCACCUUCACCGUUGGCGUAGCCGGCUCCUGGGGCGACAACCUCACCCGUCAUCUGCGUCGUGGGAGGGCACAACUCCGACGACUAUGGCACCAGCCGCAUCCUCCUCCAUACCAUCGGCUUCUCCGAGGAGGUGGUAUAUAAUUUGGACUGGACAAUGAUCCACACGGCGAUCUCGUCGGACUUGAAGCAGAGCUUGCCCGUGUACUUCAAUCGUCAGCAUCAGCCGCAGCUUGUCGGGGAUCCACACCUACCUUCGUGAUCGAGCACAUUGCAUACUUCCUCGCGCCCAAGUAGGUAGCCUUGGACAUUCUGCUAAAUGCUAAUUUGAUAUCUUGGUACAGAGGAUAAUAAGCCAGAAUCAUUUUAGUUACUAUUUUGUUCGAUUUCUACGUUUGGACACUGAUGAUUACUAAAGCAUGUGGAAUCAACCGAUCGUUUCUUUUCAAUUGCAAGUGUUUGAUCAGAUUACCUAAAGUUAUAUUCAAUCUCAAUGCUUGUGAUUGCAAGUCGCAUUUAACUUUAUGUUUAUCUGUCUAACUGUUGAGCGUCUCUGUCGCCUUUGCUUACUGUUAUCCUCCUAAACUACAGAAGUAUGCGCUUUCCUGUUCUCUGAACAUUUGCCUGUCAUCUUCUAUCAGUAUUAAUAUUCUUGAAUUCAUCUCCAGGUCUAAGUCAUUUGUAUUCUACAAGCAAACAUAGUUAAUACUUAAUGCAAUAGUCUACCUGGAAAAGUGCUACAAAUUUCAGUCUUUCCUGUGGAGCUGAAUUGUACAGUUAGAUGGUUGAUAGUUUCUUUAGCUCCUGGCAAUGUGUGCACAUGGUUGUGUGCUCACUCUGCAUGGGUGUUUCAUCGAUAUCUAACAGUGGUCUAGUUUGUCAUCAGUAGAAUUUAACAUGAAUUCGAGAGUCAAUUACGAUAUUAAUAUCUAUUGACAAUCUUUCCAUGAAAAUGUCAGAGGAAUCUGAUUAAGUACAAUGGCUAAUGGUUUUAACUAAUAUGAAAAAUCUAAGUAAUUGAAAAUAUAUAUACUGUCAAUUAUUUGUUGUUAAAUUGAACAGGUCUGUACUGACAGAGUAUGCUCAAGUUAGAUUGUGGGUAUGUGUGUGUGUGUGAAUAGGAAAUAAUGAUUGCCAUUUGUUUCUGCAUAAUAUAUCUGCCUUAUAGAUCUUUUCUUGCUUGUAUAUUGUGAAUUCUAUCAGCUUUCCACUUUCAGGAUAUGGGAAACUUGGAAUGGAUGAGAAGUUUCUCUUUUAUGCAUGUUGUUAUCAUCAUUUUUGAAUUUUCUAAGCACAAAAGCUAACUCAUUAGUUAGUUCUCUGAUGCUGUCAAUUUUUGGUUACGGAAUCGUUGCAGUGUAAACUGUAUGUGAUUGUGGUAGAAUUUAAUUUUAUGUAUCAUUCCUUCAGUUUUGCAGCAAUUUUAGGUAGGCAAUACAGUUCCGAGUACUGUUAACUGAUAUGCCCGGUAAGAGAUCACUGAAUAAGCUCUGUGACAAAGACUGAUGUCCUGAGAGUCUUUGUAGACCCAAACAUCUACAUCUUUAGAUACAAUCAUAUGUGCAUUCUUGAGGACUUGAUACCAUUGAGGGCUGAGGCUGAGCUGCUAAUAGUUAUGAUCUGAAUAUGAUUGCUAUAGGCAAUAUUCUUGAGACCUUUAUUUUACUUCUAAUUUGUAUGUAAUUAUCAUACAAAGGCUGUAAAGCCAUUGUUAGUUGCAGGACUGAAACUGAGGGUAGCCAAAGCCCAGCAGGCCUUCAUGGAGCUAGCAGAUGCAUGUGAGUAUCCAAUAGCCAUUAUUGCAUCAGCUAAAGGUAUGGUACCAGAUCACCGUCCUCACUUCAUUGGUGCUUAAUAGUUGUACCAUAAGUACCAACUUCUGUGGUGAUAUUGUGGAAUCAGCUGAUGCAAAUGUGUUUGUUAGGCCAAUAUUUAAUGACUUAGCUGUGUGGGCUAUUCCAUGCUGAGAAGAAGCAAUGAUUGGACAGCCUGACCGAAUUACUAUUGAUAUUGGUCUGUCCCUUUCAUGGCGGACGUUUUAACUGCAUCUCGGAAUCUCAGGAAGAAUAUGACUGCUUCAGUUAAUUACUGGUGUAUCUACGGCCUUCAAGCAUACCUCUCAAAUGGGAGAAUAAUGAGCCUUUAUGGGUCAAUAUCCUUUUUUAGCACAUUCAGGCAAGUUUGCCAUUAUUAUUCUUGCUAUCAAAUCAUAUUUCAUUUAUUUGUUUUUCCCUUAACAUGAUUGAAAUCUAAAUUUUAUUUUUCAGUCAAAUACUAAUUUCAUUUCAGGUAAUAUACCCUCCUAUAUCAUUUGGUAUCAUUAAGAAAAAAAAAGAGCACCAACCGUUACCAACUUAUAUUGGUAUGACAUCAGUCCUUGGUUGCAAAACACCUUUUAUUUUGUUCUUCUUCUUCCUUCACUUUUUUGAGGGGUUGACUACUUCAGUGACAAUCAAAACUUUGUUGUGUAUAGCUAAUUUUGACAAAAAGUACAUAAUUGUUGCAUUUUUUUAUCACCAUUUUCAACACCAACCUUCUCCCAUCUUAAAAAUAUCAAAGAGCAUCUUUGUUCACAACAAAUGCAUAAUUCUAAUUAGGUUCAGUAUUGUACUACUUGUUUCUUGUACAAUUGAUGCCAUUAAGCAGGAUGUGCUGAGUGGAGAGACCAAUGUUAUUACAGAGACUGGUGAUUCAUGGUUCAAUUGCCAAAGACUUUGUUUGCCAGAGAAGUGUGGUAUGGAUCUAUUGGAUGGUCAGUAGGAGCCACUCUUCAAUAUUCUGAUGCUGUCAAGGAAAGACCUGCUAUUGCUCAAAUAGGUGCAGGAAGUUUCAAGCAGGGCAGCGGAGCAUUGUCUUCAUCAUUAAUAAUGGUGGAUACACCAUUAAAGUAGAGAUCCAUGAUGGACCUUACAAUGAGAUUAAGAACCGGAACUAUACUGGAGUUGUUGGUGCCAUUAACAGCGGGGAAGGCAAGUGUAGUAAUAGCAAGGUGAAGACUGAGGAGGAAUUCAAAGAGGCCAUAGCAAAAGCCACAGGAGAAGAAAAAUUGCUUGUGCUUCAUUGGGGCAAGUGUGCAUAAAGAUGAUCCAAGCAAGAAGAUAUUGAACUGGGGAUCAAAGGUCUCAUCAGCCAACAGUAGAGAAACUUGUAUUCAAGGAUAGAGGAAUGGCCAAUAUGUUGAUAUCGAGGUAUACUUCAAAUAAAUAAUCUGUUCAUGUCGGAGUGUAAGCAUCUAAACAGAAACAAUGCAUGCAGUGUACAAGUGCCAGUGUUACCUUUAAACAUGUGUUUGUCAGGUUUUCCUAUCACUUUCCUGUUGAAUGCAUGUUAGUAACCAUGAGGUCUGCUUGUAAACAGAGAAAGUUGGAUCAGUAAAUGAAACCAUUAUUAAACUGAGUUCCACUGAAACUUAUUAGCAUG